CUGGGGAGUACGGUCGNAAGGCUGAAACUCAAAGGAAUUGACGGGGGCCGACAAGCNGUGGAGCAUGUGGUUUAAUUCGACGCAACGCGAAGAACCUUACCCAGGCUCGAAUGCAGAUGACCAUCGGUGAAAGCCGACUCCCGCAAGGGCAACUGUAUAGGUGCUGCAGGCUGUCGUCAGCUCGUGUCGUGAGAUGUUGGGUUAAGUCCCGCAACGAGCGCAACCCUGUUUCCUGUUGCCAUCACAUCAUGGUGGGCACUCUGGAGAGACUGCCGGUGACAAACCGAGGAAGGUGGGGAUGACGUCAAGUCAGCAUGGCCUUUAUGUCUGGGGCUACACACGUGCACAAUGGCCGAUACAAAGCGUUGCCAACUCGCGAGAGUGAGCUAAUCGCAUAAAGUCGGCUCAGUUCGGAUUGCAGGCUGCAACUCGCCUGCAUGAAGUUGAAAUCGCUAGUAAUCGCGAUCAGCAUGCCGCGGUGAAUACGUUCCCGGGCCUUGUACACACCGCCCGUCACAUCACAAAGCUGGCUGUACUAGAAAUCACUGCGCUCACCCGCAAGGAGGCAGGUGCUUAAGGUAGGUCAGUGAUUGGGGUG
rnacentral:rRNA from 1 species